UUUAUUCCCUCCAUUUUCACGGGAAAUUUUAGUAAGUUUGACAAAACAAAAACAUUUUAAUAAAACUUGUUUCUCCGAGAAAUAUUUCAAUACCUAAAUCUCAAGCUUAAACCUACUCGUCCAAUUGCUAAACGCUAAAUCGCUAAACCACGAAAUUGCUACAUUUCAAUCAUGGCCUUGGAGAUCGAGAUCUGGUAGCAUUGAUUCCAACAUUUAGGUGUUCUUCGAUCUGGUAGCAUUGAUUCCAACAUUUAGGUGUUCUUCGACCUGGUAGCUAUAUUUCAAUCACUUCAUUUAUGUUGUUGUUCGAAGGAAUUUCUGUUGUUCAUUACCAGUAAGUUCUCACACAGCUUCUUUUUUUUCCCGCAAGCAUUUAUGUGUCAUUUGGUUAGCGUUAAAGAAAUACAGUGUUUGGUUGGUCACAUAAGAACAAAUAAUUAGCACGUACCAUCGAUUUACUGGUGUCAGGGAUAUUCGGUCCAACAUAUAUGCCAUUUGUAUCCUUGAAUCGGAUCUACUGUAUUGAGCUGUGGAUUUUGACCUAAUUUUUGGGUUUUGCUUCUGUUUAGGAUUUUUGCUUUAAUUCUUGCUAAAAAUGGAGUGAACUUCUUGCUUUUGAUAUUGAUUGAAAAUUAUUGGAAUUUUGGAAUUACCGUGGGGCGGGAUAUUAGUGAAAUAUUUUGGACUUUUUCAAAAAUAGUAAACUACUCAUGAAAUAGCUUAACUCAGAAAAUAUUGCUUUUAUUCUUAACGUGGUUGACCAUAAGAUGGCGAGCUAAUACAAACCUAUUUCAUGUUGCAAUAUGUUAUAUAUAAACGUACAAAAUGAUUAGGAAACAUUCUUUUUUCUGAAUUGAUUUCCGUGGCAUAUGUGAGCAACAUUGUGGUCUGUGUAACAAAUUUAGGUUGCUGAAGAGACUUGCAGUUCUUUGGUUCUAUGUCCAAUUCUUAUGUCCCUUUCUUCAACUCAGAAGUCUCGGACACUAACGAAACUGACCUACACUAUUUCUAUCUUCAAAAUAUUAAGCUUACAACACAACGCUCCAGAAAACUAGCACCAAGUGAUGACGAUUUAAACCCAAACAACUUAGUGCUCGGAAUGAAAUACUUCCUGAAUCCAACUGUGUACAUAAACUAUUCUUUUAAUUAAUGAUUUGACCUAAUUUAAGUUUUUAAAUUUAGAAGCUCAGUGUGUGUUUUAGCUUUUGUAAACUUGCAAUAGUUUACCAAUAUUUUAGCUUCUGUAAAUCCACAGUGGCCUACCUAUACUGUUCUGGCUAGGAUGAGUAGUCGUUUAAAAGUUUAAAAAUUGAGUCUUUAGGUAAUAUGAGUAGUUUGUUUUGUUCAUAAAUGUAGUUUAAAUUUUUGUAUUUUUCUACUGAUUCAAGUGUUAAGAUUUAGGGUGUAUUUGGUACAAAGAAAAAUGCUUUAGUUCUAAGAGAGGUUGUUCUAAGGUGCUCAAGCGUCAUAUCUUCUUCAUCGGGGGUAAGUUGGGCAAUCGACUAAAGCAGUUGCAUUGUAAAAUCUUGUAGAGGCUGGAGAGGAUGACGUGUUGGAUGACGACAGUGAAGAAGAAAGAUAGGUUAGUUAAUUCACCAAGUUGUGUGAUAGGAAUUAGCAUAAGCUACUUUUUUUCUUGUCUAUUUUUUUCCGGUGUUGCUACUUUUAUCGAACUUAGCUGGACGUCCUACUUAUCAUUCUAGGAAUUAGUCAAAACAGUUUUAUAAGCUGGCCAGUCAUAAAAUAUAUGAGCUAAUAUAAGUUAUAGAUUCUGUUGGAUGAUGUUGAUAAGCAUCAAGUAAUAGCUGUUAUGUUCUUCUGGAGGUUGAAAAAUGAAUUACAAAAUAGAUCUUACUUUCAGUGGAUUUGUGGAUAUGCACUAAUUAAAUAUUUUUAUUGUCUCCACGAGAUGUUGACAGUCACCCUUUGAACCUAUCACAAGGAUUUGCAUGUGACGUCAAUGGUGAAGGAGCUUUCCAUUUGGAUGCGAUUUUAUUGGAGAAAUCUCUAUUUUGCUUAUUAUUUUAUUUCUUGGGUUGAACUAUAUCUUUUCUCUACUAUAUACAUAGCCUGAUACAAAAGAAAAAUUUUCUGUCACCUCUUUUAAGUUGUUUCCAACGUGAAGUUUUGUCUUCUAUAUCUCACUUUGAGUAAAUGUCUGAUGUUUCAAAAUCAUUAUACAUGGCAGGCAUAGCUUACAACUAUUUCCUUGGCCUUUUGUAAGGUUUUUUAAGAUCUUUUAUAUAUAAGUUGAUUCUUUGUUUAUUUCCUGUGCUUUAUUUAUUUACCUGCAUAUUGUGAGCAAAUCAAGAAGACAAAUCCUGGAAGUCAUGCUGAGGUUUUUACAGCUAGUUCAGAUAGUCGCUUUUAGAGAUUCUUCAUUUCCUAUUAUGCUUCUUUUCAUGGGUUCCUGAAUGGUUGCUUGCCUGUUAUUUGUCUUGGUGGUAUCCAGCUUAAGAGCAAAUACUUAGGUACUUUACUAUCAGCGACUUCUUUUGAUGCUGAUGGUGGAGUGUUUCCACUUGCUUUUGGUGUUGUCGAUAAAGAAAAUGAUGAUAGCUGGAUGUGGUUCUUGUUAGAGUUGCGCAAAGCUCUAAACAUGGGCACUGAGAAGAUACCAAUUGCAGGUAUUUAGUAGUAGAUUUCAAAUAUUUUUCACAUUUGGAAUUUAUGGAAUUGAAGAUAAAAUUUUUGCGCAAACCUAAAGAAGUUGUUUUGAUAACACUUUGCCUUAAGUAAAACAUCUUAAAAAUAAAGGGUUAUGUUAUAACAAACUAGUGAAUGGAGGAAACUAGUAAACCAUUAUCCAAGAUCGAUAACUAGAGAACUUAAGAAGUGAGGAAACUAACGAUGUGAUAAAAAUUCUCAAACAAGUUGAUGAAACUUGUGAAUCAAAUUCGAAUGUUAGGAGAGAUUUUCUAGAAUAAAGGAUUGCACCAUAGAUUAUCUAAACCAAAGUGAUAUGGAAGGAUACAAACCAUAUUUGGGAUGGUUUGACAUAGACUCAUUGAGGAAAACUGUCUUUUAUAAAAUAACCAACCGAACCUUACAAUGGAUGCCCUACCUCAGUAAUUACUUCCUUUUGCAGCCAUUCUUUGUUCAGAAUGUUUGACGAUUUGAUAAUUCUAGCAAAUGGUGGCCUUAAAGUAUAUCAAGGACCAGUAAAGACAGUUUAAGAGUACUUUGCAGGCAUUGGAAUAACUGUAACUAAUCACGUUAAUCCUCCUGAUCAUUUCAUUGAUAUUUUAUAAGGAAUUUAUAAACUCUCGAGCACAGGACUGAGCUAUAGAGAUCUUCCUGUUAGAUGGAUGCUUCAUACGGAUACCCCAUACCACCAGAUAUGCUAGAUUCUUCUGGAUCAAGAGCAUCUUCAGUUGGAGAAAAUUCAGCUGAUGGAGUAAGUCCUGCAGCUGCUACCUCAGAUCAAUCUGGAGACCUGUGGUCGGAGAUCAAAUCCAAUAUUGCACAGAAGAAGGACCGCAUGAGGUUCAACUUUUAGGCAUGGUCGGACUUGUCUCAUCGGAAAACCCGGGUGUAUUGCUUCAAUAUAAGUAUUUCCUUGGAAGUUGGCUACAUCCUAAUUAUUUUUCAAGAUGUGUGUGUGUGACCAACUGAGAAGCUUCUAUGGACGCUUAGGGGGGGGAGUAUUCAUGUGACAGUGUUAGUUGAUUACAAAUGUUUUUUAGUUUCAUUUGUUUUGAUGGUUGACAUCUAUGAUACUUCACAUUCCCAGAGUCGGGAAGCAGCGAUUGUGAGAAGCCAGGAUACAAGCAGUUGAUUUCUGAUUCUAUUACUUGUUGGACUCUGUUUGAGAACACUUGCUUAAGUGAGUGAUGAAACAUUUGGAUUUAUGGGGUACCUUUACAACGUCAUUGCAGUUUAUCUUCCCACCCAGAUUGCGGCUUUGAGGUUAUUUUCUCUAGAUAAAUUACACUACUGGAGAGAGAGUGCAUCUGGCAUGAGCCGUUUGGCAUACUUUCUGGCUAAGGAUACAUUGAUCAUAUUAAUAUUAUUGUAAAGGCUGCAAAUUAUCUCUGUGUUCUACUUCUUCAACAAUCCAAGAUCUUCAAUUUUCGAUAAUUAUGUCGUCUUGCUUUGUGUCGUAUAUUGUGUUACUGGGAUAGCAUAUGCACUUGCCAUCUACUUUGAACCUAGUCAAGCUCAACUGGUGUGUACUCGGUAUUUUGUUUUGUGAUGUGUAUAUAUUGUGUUAUAAUUUAUUAUGUAUGUAAAUAAAAAUUUACGUUAA